ACGUGUUUAAACAUCAUCUUACUACCUGGAUCAUCAGAGUUUCAAAUUCAUCUCGAAAUGAGAAAUAGCACGAGUAAUAAAGACACGUUGCUUUUAUAUGUCUAAUUUCAUCAACGUCGAUUAGGCUUUGAUUUAGAUUUCAGUCUUUGUUUCGAAGAAUUUAACUUGGAUUAUCACUUGGUCGACGUUGGUCAAGUCUUGCCGAACAACCAUUGUCCGAACGCACCCGGUACGCGAUCACAACCAAAACAAAUGCACUGUGUUUACAUCGGUCCGUGUCGUGCAUCGUUAUGAGGAAAUAUAAACGUUUAUUUAUUAAGUGGAUUUAUUUAGGAAGUUUAUUUAGGAAAUGUAAACGUUUAUUCUUAUUAGUAUUUUAUUAGUUAUUUUUAUUAGUUGCAAAGCAGAUAUGAAAAACAGCUGGAGGGUUGUUCAUUUCAUUAAAGAAAAUACAGUAGAAGCCGUGCCAACGUCCUGGGUCAAGAAUAUAAAUGAAUGUUUUUGGCCACCACACAGUGGAUUAAAAUUAAAAAAUUUGAUUAAAAAUUGCACUCCACCUGGUCAUAAUUGGGAUCUUCACCAAUCAAGGAUGAUGGGUGAAUUAUAUGGAGAUCUGGGUGUAGCAAGAAGUAAAGCUAUUCAAGCUGAAGAUAUUUCUGAUUUACAAUCAGACCUUGAAACACGUGCAAAGAAAAUAAAAAGAAAAAAGGCUCAUAUCUGACUUAGAAUUUGAUUCAAAUCAGAUUACUUCCAACAUUUCUCGUAACGAAAUAAACGAUACAAAUUAAGAAAGUGAAGAAAGUGACGAAAUAAGCGAUAAAGAAAAUGAAAUAGUUAACAUACCUAUUUUAAAAAAAGCUGUCAAAGAAAAUUCUGUAGCAUCUGUUUCAUAAAACAUUGCCAGUAUCCAAACAGACUCAGUGCCGUGUACAUUAAAGGAAGUAAUUCCAAAGACCAUUACGGCUCAAGACGCGUCUAAAGAGCUAGCACCACUAGGGACCUGGAUCUCCGCGCUGUAAAUGAAGCCUACAAAAAACAAGUACUCAGGAUGUUGUCGAUUCUGAAUUACAAGAUAGAGCAAAUAGCGGAAGAUGUAAAUAGUUUUAAGACAAAUAACAUUAUGGAGAAAGAAGUUCCUGCAAUGGAAUCAUUAUUUGAAAAAUUCAAUUUUCCCUUACGUUCUAUGGAAGAUUACGUUCUUGAAAAUUUUGAAGAGUAUUUAGAAAAUGAAGAAAAGAAAAAG